CUCAGUAGAUUCCUGGAAGAAAUCAGUGCCCUGAUUAUCAUGACUACUAGAGUAAAAACAAAUGUCAAGUUGACAGUGAAAGAGAGCGAGAGAGGGAGAGAGAGAAAGAGAGAGAGCGAGAGAGCGAGAGAUAGAUAGAUAAAGAGACUGAACAUGCACACAAAGCCAAACAGCGAGUUCUAUCUUUGAUCAAAUAUCCUGACAAGUGCAGACAGUGUGUGUCACUUCUGGCAAAGCUGGAGUCCAUUUUGCUGGAGAAGCUGAAGCCGAGACAAGAGAUGACAUGAGCAGACAAUACAUUGCAUCAUUACAUUUGAGAUACAUCUUGGGAGACAUGACAACAACUACUCACUGUUCUGCUUCGUUUCCUGUUUUUUCCUUAUGAGGAGCAGAAGAAUAGAUGCUGGAAUGGACCUUAGGACAUUCCACUCUCAACUCAAAGUGUGGAGUUUCAGUGCAGCCAUUUCAUGCAUAAUGGUGUAUACAGUCCCAUCUCGCCAAAAACCUGGAGAAACAAACUCAGAGAAGAGUGUUUACAUGUGGGAGCCCAGACCCACUUUCUUGUGCAAUAGGACUCCACUGUGCCCAAGAAUAUGGACAUGUGUUAUGGUGUUCCUAGAAGUGGAAUUUCCUCCUCUUCCACCAAGCCAAAUAAAGCAUGUAAUGUGGCUGUUACUGCUUACUUCAUAAGGAGCAUUGGCCACACACACCCUUACCAAAAUCCUCUUAGUUUAUCCUUAAUGUUACAUAACACUUUAUUUCUGAAACAAUAGUUUAUACAAUAGUAUGUUGACUCUCUAUUCCUCACUGGUUAAAAUUGGUAACAACUUACAUAAUAUAUUUAGCCUGGGUGUUCCCAUUCUGCCUUGCGCAGUGAUUUCAUUCACGCUGCUAAGGCAGUCUGGAAAAUACCGCCCUAAUGUUUGACUGAGAUAGGGGACCAAUCACAGAACAGGGGGGAAAGCAAGACCAUGAUGAGCUAUACACAGACGCAUUUGAUAGACAUCCGUGGCAUCCAAUGAAUGGAUCUGGGCAUUUUUCCAAAUACGAGAAAAUGAACGUCUGGUUGCCAGACCACGUCAAAUUGUAGAAGUGAUAGGCGCUAGCCAGGCUUUCAUAUAUUUGCAAACAUGUUCCUUCUUAGAGGAAAUGUUCCUUUUAUCCCGAUAUGCAUGUUUACAUCUGACAGUGUGGCAGCUAGCAGGGUCCCCGUAAGAUGGAAGGGGGAGAACUAGGAGGAUUCCAAAGCCCAUUCACUGACAGGAGUCCCCAUAGAACAGACUGACCACCAUUGUUCUUAUAUUACAUUGCUAUUAUUGAACAUACUGACCACCAUUAGGGGAUCCUAUAUUAUAUUUAAGCAUCAAGCACUUAGAGAACAUGAUUUUUAAAACAUGACUCAGUCAAUCAUAUUCAAGGACCAGAACAAUCCAUUUUACAAUUCUUUGCAGGGCCCAAAAAGUUCUAACAGCACCCCAGACAAAAGUUGGAAGAACUUCAGAGUUCUCACCUGACCCUUUGACUCUCUCUGUCUCUCGCUCUCUCCCCGAUUCCUUUUUAUCUGGAGAGAACCUAUUGAACGGUGACAGUCGUCGCUCUAAGAGUCUCUGCUACCUUCGUUGUCCCACUUUACUCUUCCCCCAGGCGAACUGGCACUGCUCCUCGCACUUGCCAAGGCAAGUCUUUGACCUGCGCUGGGAUCAGGCUUUGAUCAUUAUCACAUUACCCUUGAUAUCUGACAGCUGAUCAAAGUCUGG